UACGUAGGGUCCGAGCGUUGUCCGGAAUUACUGGGCGUAAAGAGCUCGUAGGUGGUUUGUCGCGUUGUUCGUGAAAACUCACAGCUCAACUGUGGGCGUGCGGGCGAUACGGGGCAGACUAGAGUACUGCAGGGGAGACUGGAAUUCCUGGUGUAGCGGUGAAAUGCGCAGAUAUCAGGAGGAACACCGGUGGCGAAGGCGGGUCUCUGGGCCGAUACUGACGCUGAGGAGCGAAAAGCGUGGGGAGCGAACAGG
rnacentral:rRNA from 1 species